UUCAGAUGUCACAAUGAAAGCAUUCCUGAACCAAAACUGCAGGUGAUUGCAAAGCAUUACCUUGUUUGUGAAACUCCACACCUUGCUGAAGACCAAGCCAGAUGUCCUAAAGAAGAGGUGGAGGUGGACCCUGGUGAAGUUUUAGACAUCGAAAUCAAUGCUCCUUCUGGAGAUGAAUUUCAAGGUGGAUCUGAGUUGCGAGAGGGUCUCUCUCCUCAGCCCUCUGGGCAUCAUCUCACACGCUCCUGCAGGGGACUACCUGCCCCAGAGGAAACCCUCACUGGACCCUCCCGCAGUCCUGAGCCAGUGUUCCCAGGACAGCAUAUGUUUGAUCAACAACACUCUGCUUCAGUCUUGGACACUAAUCCGCUCCUCGCUGGACCUACUCCCAUGGGCUCCAUUCAGCCUCCAGGAAAUGAGAGUGACCCCUGGAGGCCCAGUCUAGCUUUGCAGGGGCCCACGGAUCUGUCAAAGCCUGGGACUCCCCACCAUGGGCAAAAGCCUCUCCAGAAACAUCCAUCAGCUCAGUCUGGCUGCUCCUUUACUGCUCCCUCUGGACCACAGGCACAGAAACCUGCUGUGCUGGUAAGAGCUGUUGCCAGGAUGGUGCACACUGCCAAGCCAAUGGCUGUUGCCAGGGGGAUGCCCAUUGCUGCAAGGCAGCCAGCAAGUGCCAAGUCUAAGAUAUCUGCCAAAGCUCCACCAGCGCCAGGGAUGGUGGGAAGAAAUGUGGGUCAGAAGGUCAAGGUGCAGCCCCAAACUCCUCCAGUUACUCAAAAAUUUCCAGCAAAGCCGCUAAACAUGACAAACAACAAAGAGUGUGAAGAGGAGGCGUUCUACAUGGAGAGGCUGCGGGAGCAGAUGCGACUGAGGGAGCAGGUUAUCAAACAGAAGGAACGGAUGAGAUCUAGACGGGCUGCAAACAAGAAGCAUCUGCGGCAGGAGCGAUUCCAAAUAGAUAGUUCCACCGGACAAUGGAACAACAACCAAAAUCAACAGACACUGCCGUGUGUCUUGGGUUCUUGCCCUCGGAAGGUUACACACCAGCAGCCCUUUCAUAAUCCCCCUCACUGUCUUGUCCUGGAGCGCCAUCCAGAAAUCCAGCCCUUGCCUUCAGAGCAGCAUCAGCACCAGUACCAGGUUGUAGUACCCCCACUUCAGCCACCAUGGCAACAAGCUCCACCGACACAAGGGAAUCCAUCAGGCCGUGCAGCAGGGCUGCAGCAUAAUCAGCCUCAUCAGAAGGGCACAGACAGGGUGGUGUUACAGGGAAUGGAGCAAGUCCCAGAUCAGAUGAACCAACUGUACAGUAUAGAUGAAGUCUGGCGAGGACGCAAGAGGAAGUGUGAGCCGAGAACUUCUGACGGGCCUGUUCCCACCAAAAUUAGAGUGGUCAAACACCUCAGCCCAGUUAGUGUGAGUUGUGAUCUCACACCACAGAUGAGCGAAGAGACUAACACAGUGACUAAAACGAAGCCCAGAAUUGUCACCUUCAGAAUGCCUGAUUCAUCAUCACCUUCAUUUCUGCAACAGAGUCUCAAGUUAAACUGUCCCAAACAGGGAAGGGGAUCCGGCCCAAACCAGCCCCAGGAUGAGGUGGCUUUCAGGGGAAACCAACGCAGCGCUUUCAUACCCUUCAGUUCCGGCCUGAGAACAGAGUCUGUUACUGCUCAAACCCAUGUCAACUUCAUAGUGAGACUAAACCACUGAACCUCUUGGAAAUCAAGCCUUAUCCAACAAAAUGCAGAGUAGAAAAUUUUCAGUGUUCUCACAGGUUUGGCAACGUUUUUGUUAUGAUGCAAUAUUUGCCUUUUUUUGUGAUUGUUGAAGACAGUGGUUUGGCAUUUUGCUCCUUGGUUUCCAUUAAAUACCUACACUGCUUGCAUGUUCCUGCGUGGCUGUUCAUGUCAUUUAGCAAGAAACCCUUGAAUUUGUUUGUUCUUUGAUAUAUUGAUACUUUUAUACAGUCACUCUUACCGAUGUAUUAUUCCCCAUAAAUGUUUUUCAGUUUUAGUCAAGUUUUGUCUCUGUGGAAUGUGCAGAUAAAAAUGACCUAUAAAAACAAAGGUGGCAUCAUGAUGAUGAAUUAUAGCCUGUUGACAACUGCCAGUAAUGUUUUAAUAAGCAUUAAAGGUAUUGUUCACCCAAAAAUUCUGCCGUUGUUCACUCACCCUCAAGUUGUUUCAAACCUGCAUGAAUUUCUUUUCUUUUGAAGAAUGUGGGUAACUGAACAUUUGUUGGUCCCUAUUGACUUCCAUAGUAGGAAAAAAAUACUAUGGAAAUCAGCGGGGACCAUCAACUGUUCAGUUACCCAUAUUUUUAUUAUUCUUUUUAUUUGUAUUUUUUUAUUUUUUGCUAUUAUUUGGUUAAUCUUAG
ensembl:lncRNA